GCCAUCAAUUUUUGUGGAAAUUUCCAAGUGAUUUGACAAAGGAAUUUAUCGUGGAAGAAAAAAUGAAUAGAGCUUUGCUGUUUACCCUUCUUGCUCUUGGAGCUGCUGUUGUGCUUCAGAUGUUUGGAUCAUUCCCUCAAGCAUCAGCUGUUCCAAUUGAUGGUCUUUCCGGCUAUGUUUCAACAGUUACUGCAGUUGCUCAAGGUGUAACUGGUGGAGGUAAAAAAUAAAUUUCAGAGUAAAUGAAAUAUUUUGCCAACCAAUCAGCCCGACCACAGCGUGAUGAAGGAGGAUGAAUUAUUGCAAUUUAUUUCAAUUUGUCUUACUUAUAAAAAAUAAAUAAAUAAAAAGUAAUUCAAUUGAGAAAAAAA